CACCCCCACCACACCGCGUUUGUUGCCCUUCACUUCAACCCCCCAGCUGUCAGUCUAUCACAUUUUGGGAAGCACACAGCUUUGAAAGAGAUGAAGAUAUUAAGUUAGAAAGUGUCAGCAAUUGUGAAAAGUAGCGCGUUUAACACCACUGUUGAAAUGUCAUCAAGUACUUGUUUCACGUUCACGAUUUAUUGACGUCUAAAACCAACAAUCUCAUGACUAGAACACAUUUCCAUCCAGGAAGUGAAGAACUCCUAGAUGGUCUUUAUUUCCUCUGCUUAGAUAUCAGCCCAAAUGGCUGCCUUGCGCCAAGCAUGGCGGAUGUAAACAGACAGGAGGAGCAAAAAAAAAACGAAAAACAAAACCAACAACAACAACAGAAAAACAAAUUAGCCCUUGAGCCUCUGGACUUGAUUUCAGAUGACAGACGUGGCCUGGGGAAAAAAAAACCAAUAACACCUACAAACAAUUUUUGUAUUUGUUUGUUUAAGUCCAGUUGAAUUCUGGCUGAGUCCUGUGUAUUUAUACAUUCAGUGCAAAUCAUAAUCCUUUACUCCAGAAGAAAACGUACAGUAUGUGCACCGAUUCACUUUUGCAGUCAACAAUAUUGGUGUCAAUAUCCAUUCAGGAAGUUUUUCUUGACCAAUUUUAAUCUUUGCAUCACACUUGACAUAAGCAGCUUCACACAGCAGAUUAUGGACGACGCCUGAACUUCCGUGUGCACACAUGUUGCGACAAAUGUGCAGUGACCUGCACAUGACACAAGCUGACCGACCCAUCUGAUCUGUGGCGACCAUUUCCAACACAAAAGGAUUGUACAUAGAGAUCAUGACACACUCCCUGUCAGGCAGACGCAACUAGCGGUGUGGUGUCCCAAACCGACCCACCCUGUCAAACUAGCUGAUGCACCAUGGGAAAAAGGCAAAUGCUGUAGUUAUUCUGUGCUGUCAACUCAGAUGAUAAGUUCCAGUCAACAGGAUGGAAAGAGGUCAGCGUUCCAAGAGAAGCACUUCUUCUGCUGCGAACCCGUCCCCAAUCCGGCCUUGUGGCCCCCUGCAUUCAACCCCGGCUGAUCUUGGAAAUCCUCGCCAGAGAAUUGAAGCUUCCCACUACCCACUUAACAAGUAAGCUAUGUAAUUCCUCAUCAUCUUUCAGACCCCCUGUGUCCCCCCUUGUCCUGGGUGUUCCCUCAGUGCUCCCCGCCAAGUGGCUUUCUUCCACCACACCGCCAAACCAGCUGCUUGCUGCACGUUCUCAGCCUCAGCAACAACCUGCCAGCACAUUCCCCUUUUUCA